UACGUAGGGGGCAAGCGUUGUCCGGAAUCAUUGGGCGUAAAGAGCGUGUAGGCGGCCCGAUAAGUCCGCUGUGAAAGUCCAGGGCUCAACCCUGGAAUGCCAGUGGAAACUGUCGGGCUGCAGUCCGGAAGAGGCGAGUGGAAUUCCUGGUGUAGCGGUGAAAUGCGCAGAUAUCAGGAGGAACACCAAUGGCGAAGGCAGCUCGCUGGGACGGUACUGACGCUGAGACGCGAAAGCGUGGGGAGCAAACAGG
rnacentral:rRNA from 1 species